rnacentral:tRNA from 1 species
GCCGGGAUAGCUCAGCGGUAGAGCAGAGGCCUGAAAAGCCUUGUGUGGGUAGUUCGACUCUACUUCUCGGCACCA